rnacentral:rRNA from 1 species
CACGUAGGCACCAAGCGUUGUCCGGAUUUAUUGGGCGUAAAGAGCUCGUAGGCGGUUCAGUAAGUCGGGUGUGAAAACUCAGGGCUCAACCCUGAGCGGCCACCCGAUACUGCUGUGACUUGAGUCUGGUAGGGGAGUGGGGAAUUCCUGGUGUAGCGGUGAAAUGCGCAGAUAUCAGGAGGAACACCGGUGGCGAAGGCGCCACUCUGGGGCCACGACUGACGCUGAGGAGCGAAAGCAUGGGUAGCAAACAGG